GCCUUCUUAGCUCAGUGGUAGAGCGUUGGUCUCGUAUUCAGUUGAAAGUCAACCAAAGGCCGAGAGUUCAAUCCUCUCAGAAGGCA
rnacentral:tRNA from 1 species